rnacentral:rRNA from 1 species
CCUACGGGCGGCAGCAGUGGGGAAUAUUGGACAAUGGGGGCAACCCUGAUCCAGCCAUGCCGCGUGUGUGAAGAAGGCCCUCGGGUUGUAAAGCACUUUCAGUGAGGAAGAACGCCUGGUGGUUAAUACCCAUCAGGAAAGACAUCACUCACAGAAGAAGCACCGGCUAACUCCGUGCCAGCAGCCGCGGUAAUACGGAGGGUGCGAGCGUUAAUCGGAAUUACUGGGCGUAAAGCGCGCGUAGGUGGCUUGAUAAGCCGGUUGUGAAAGCCCCGGGCUCAACCUGGGAACGGCAUCCGGAACUGUCAAGCUAGAGUGCAGGAGAGGAAGGUAGAAUUCCUGGUGUAGCGGUGAAAUGCGUAGAGAUCGGGAGGAAUACCAGUGGCGAAGGCGGCCUUCUGGACUGACACUGACACUGAGGUGCGAAAGCGUGGGUAGCAAACAGGAUUAGAUACCCCGGUAGUC